rnacentral:rRNA from 1 species
UACAGAGGGUGCGAGCGUUUAAUCGGAAUUACUGGGCGUAAAGCGCGCGUAGGCGGCUUUGCAAGUCGAGUGUGAAAUCCCCAGGCUUAACCUGGGAACUGCAUUCGAGACUGCAUAGCUAGAGUAUGGGAGAGGGAAGUGGAAUUUCAGGUGUAGAGGUGAAAUUCGUAGAUAUCAAGCGGAACACCGGUGGCGAAGGCGGCCUUCUGGACAGUGACUGACGCUGAGACGGCGAAAAGCGUGGGGAGCAAACAGG